UCGGCUAUUUCUUCUAUGUUAAUAAUAAGCUCCAACAUAAAAUUUUAAAAAUUAAGAAAACACAAAAAAAGUAAAUCGGCAAUUACAAAAAUUAAGAUAAAAUAAGUGAUAGGAACAAAAAGAAGGACGCCAUAGGCGGCCCCAAUCGUUUCACUUGUUUUCCUUCUAUCCACAAUAUUCUAAGGAUAUAUGUCAUGUAUUGACUCUAUUUGAUGGUGAUGAGACUCCAUCUUUACGAGUCCCGAAGACUCCAUAUGUGGGUAUUGGAGUCUAGCAUUAAGACUCCAUUAUGCUCCAAAAUGUACAUGUAAAGGAAGAGAGAAAUAAACAAUUGGCAAAAUAACGUAAGAGUUCAAUUAACAUAUGCAAGGAUAAGAAGGAUUAGAGAGUGGAACUUGAUUCUUAACAAUAUAUCAAGAUUAAAAUAUGCAAAGACGUCCUAGUGUCAAAUUAUUUUAUGAAAUUCCAGCCAUACUUCUUGUCAUCAGACAAACACACAACUAUAGGAAAGAUAAAUAUUUCCAGCUAUUUAUUUAGACUAGUAGCAAAAACUCUCAAAUGACUAAAAUAUAAACUUCCAAUGAUAAUCACACAGCAACAUGGACAUAUUUCAUCAAGACGUAAAUUUUAUCUUAACAAAGUCAUCGACACUUUUAAAUCCAAAUACUAACCAGCAAAAAGAAAUAGGCACAAAAGUUCUAUAACUAUGUUUCCUAAAGAAAGAAUUUUGGAUACCUAAUACUAAAGUAAAUCAAGUCUUCACUUAACAGUGUGCAUUUAAAUAAAUCUAUUCUUAAACAAAUUGUGAAAUUUUAAGCACGAUAUUUAGGAAAAAGGUUUUGAAUCACAAUGGCAAAUAAAUCUUUUACAGGGCAACUAGUUCAUGAUAAAAUCCUUCUUAAAUUUAUGGCAUCUAACAGAGAAGUAUGCAAAAGGGAAUAAGUAUUUUCAUGUGAGCAUUUCAUCAAAUAUAUGUCGGGCAUGCUUUUAACAAUACACACCAGAACAUAAUCUCCUUACAGGAUUACUGCUAAUAACUUUAGUCACAGAUCAUUCCCUUAAAUAAACAUGUACAUAAAAGCUUAAUAGAAGCUAACAAUCCUCGCAACAAACACGCAUCAGACAUCAAAAAAUCAGAAUCAAAACGAGAGUAAUAGGAGAAGAUACAGACCUUUUGCAGGACAUCGAACUGAGACGGGUUAGAUGCGAUAUCGAACUCCGACCUCAAACUCGCUACCUUAGACGAUUGUUAGUCGCCGGAAUAAGCAAAUAAACCAUUGUAAUGGCUAAAAAUACAAAGAGAGCUAGAGAACUUUGUUUUUUAAUUAGAGGAAAGGAAAUGCAUUAACAGAGGUGGCUGAAAACUCUCGACUUUAGGGUGAAAGUGGGCGGCUCUAGGGCUUAAGGUUAAAGAAGGGGGUCGAAGCUUGUGGGUUUAAAGAGAGGUGCAACGGCUCCAAAAGAUCCUUUUCCAAUAUAUUUCAAAUACAAGUAUUUAUAGGUGAAGAAGUAGGGUUCAUGGGCGGGAUUUUUACCUCUAACGUUUGAAAUUAAGAGCGUGGAGUUUCGAACGGUAAAAUAGUCGUUCAUCAUUUAAUGAGCGAGAUUUGAGCAGAUUUGUUUCAAAUUAAUACCCAAAAUGGUUGGGAUGUUGUGCAGCAAGAAAAAGAAAAAAAAUGGAGAAACUCCAUGUGACCAAAGAGAGAGAAAAGAUCCCAAUUUAGAC
rnacentral:lncRNA from 1 species